rnacentral:rRNA from 1 species
UACGUAGGUGGCAAGCGUUAUCCGGAUUUAUUGGGCGUAAAGAGAACGCAGGCGGUCUUUUAAGUCUGAUGUGAAAGCCUUCGGCUUAACCGGAGUAGUGCAUUGGAAACUGGGAGACUUGAGUGCAGAAGAGGAGAGUGGAACUCCAUGUGUAGCGGUGAAAUGCGUAGAUAUAUGGAAGAACACCAGUGGCGGAAGCGGCUCUCUGGUCUGUAACUGACGCUGAGGUUCGAAAGCGUGGGUAGCAACCAGG